GACGAACGCUGGCGGCGUGCCUAAUAUAUGCAAGUCGAGCGGACAGAAGGGAGCUUGCUCCCGGAUGUUAGCGGCGGACGGGUGAGUAACACGUGGGUAACCUGCCUGUAAGACUGGGAUAACUCCGGGAGACCGGAGCUAAUACCGGAUAGUUCCUUGAACCGCAUGGUUCAAGGAUGAAAGACGGUUUCGGCUGUCACUUACAGAUUGGCCCGCGGCGCAUUAGCUAGUUGGUGAGGUAACGGCUCACCAAGGCGACGAUGCGUAGCCGACCUGAGAGGGUGAUCGGCCACACUGGGACUGAGACACGGCCCAGACUCCUACGGGAGGCAGCAGUAGGGAAUCUUCCGCAAUGGACGAAAGUCUGACGGAGCAACGCCGCGUGAGUGAUGAAGGUUUUCGGAUCGUAAAGCUCUGUUGUUAGGGAAGAACAAGUGCAAGAGUAACUGCUUGCACCUUGACGGUACCUAACCAGAAAGCCACGGCUAACUACGUGCCAGCCGCCGCGGUAA
rnacentral:rRNA from 1 species